GACGUAGGGAGCGAGCGUUGUCCGGAUUCACUGGGCGUAAAGAGCGCGCAGGCGGCUUGGUAAGUCGGAUGUGAAAACCCGGAGCUCAACUCCGGGCGUGCAUCCGAUACUGCCCGGCUAGAGGUAGGUAGGGGAGAUCGGAAUUCCUGGUGUAGCGGUGGAAUGCGCAGAUAUCAGGAGGAACACCGGUGGCGAAGGCGGAUCUCUGGGCCUUACCUGACGCUCAGGCGCGAAAGCUAGGGGAGCGAACAGG
rnacentral:rRNA from 1 species